CCAAAUCCCAUGAAGAGUUUGUGCUGGGUUCAGACCCUGUUCAGUACCCCAUUCUCAGCUCCAUGGGGGGAAGCUUGCAGCUCUCUAUUGAUGAGAGUCUUGGCUCUCUGCUGUUUCUUGGGUAUCUUUUUGUGACAAGGAUGGCUGGUGCUGGCACGCACUGUAAACGAGGAGGGGAUGGGCCUAAGUUUCCAUCACGCUGCAAAGCAGAACCAUCUGUUGGUGGCUUCUCUGUUAGCCCGUGGCUGUGAAGAGAGCAUUUAACAAUGAAGAGCUGGGGCCAGAGACACGAGUCCUUGGCUCCAGUUCCUGUUUGUCUCCAGGCUGCCGCAUUCCACAGAAGGCAGUAAACUGACAUUCUGAGAAUGUUUGUCUCUGCCAGCCAGGGCUUGGCUAAUCCUGGUGACCUGCAGCAGAUUCCCCACCAAGAAGACAUCCAGUGGAAAGACAGGGUUGGCUCUUCUAUUGUACCUCACUGGAUUUGAAAAGAUGCCUG
rnacentral:lncRNA from 1 species